AGGAUACUGAGUCAGGCAAGCCUCCGAGGC
rnacentral:piRNA from 1 species